GGGUUGCAGCUGGAGUUGGGGUUAAUGGCCCAGUUAUUAUUUAUACAUCCCUUUGGGACACUUUGUCCUCCAGCAUUUAACCCAUCCAAACUAUUUAAGAGCAAAGGGAAGCCACAGAGCAGCACCGUGGGACCAGCUCUUCUUCUGCGGUGAAUGCUUUGGUCAAGGGCAACUUCACUUCCUAUCCCAGAUACCAAGAGCAGCAUGCAUUUUAAACUCAAAAGAAAUUGAAGCGUUCACAUGAAUUCAGACAGGGCACACUUGACAUUGACAGUCCAGAGCUUCGGUUUGGAAAGAGGCCCUUUGAGGACAUCCAGAUUUAAUGUUUGUGCAGUAUACUGUGUACGAUUGGAGAUAAUUACUCUGAGUACCCAGAUUUGAGUUUGCAUUCAUACUGAGUGCGCUUUGUUUUGUAAAUUUAGAGUUUUCCCCUCACUGGGCGAGUGAGAUGCUAUCACUGAGCUCCGCAAGCAAACUUUCCACUUCUGUUCUUUUGAUAAGAAACAAAACAUCUCACAACACAAACAGGCUUUAUAUUGGUUCAGAUGAAGAGAGGCUUUCCAGUGACUCAUUUGCACACGCUGCUAUGAAUAGACUCGCCUGCCUGUGAACCUACCGCAGCACUGAUUUGCUUCUGGGAGUGACAAAAGACUCACAUUGCAAAAAAGAAUAUAUCAAUUAAGAGGAAAAGAUUCUUUCGUGGGUCAAUACAGACAUGUAGAGUAAUCACUGUCCAGCAGAACAAGCUGUUUAGAAAUGCCAAGGCUCUUUGUAACACUGCUCUUAUCUUUCCUCUGCAGAUCUGGUCAAUCCAAGAUUACUGUAGCCGUCCUACAGCGACCUCCUGAAAGGCUUUCUUAAUCUGGAAUGAUGUCCAAUUUUAAUUCCAAGCAGUUUUUCAUUACCGCCAUGAACAUUUCCUCAAUAUUUUGAUGUACAUUUCCUCUUUUAUGUACAACCCUGCAUUAAUUCUUUAAUGGUGGUCCACAAAUCCCCAAAAAAACAUGACAUACUGAGCACAGGGAGUGCUCAAAGGUAGCCUAGUAGCGCUAACAUAAGACAAACCUGUCACAAACCCAGUAUGGUCAAUAUAUCACUCAAUGCACUAUGUUUCUGGUCCAACCCUGAUAGGAUGCGGGCCAGGAAAUCUGGGCGCGGACUAAAGGGGGCUGAACAUUGGAUGUGUUAUUUAUCGCUAUAACCAUAAAACAUAGAAGCAGAGCAGGGAGGAAAGAGAGGAGGCAGACAGACAGGGAGGGAGGGAGGGAGUAGUCAUGUUAGGAAGGAGCCCAUAUCUCCAUAGGAGUGAUUGAUGGGGAUGAGGAAUCGGCCCUGUCAUGGUGCAAUUACACCAGUCGGACAGGAUGUGUUUGAAGGACAGAGCAGCUGAGUACAGACCGGGAGGGGAAGUGAUUCAUGCUGCAGGAAAGCGCUGCAAAACAAAUGAUGUUACGGUCCUGACCUUGUAACUGUGACAAGAUAUCAUCUCUCUUGUUAAUUCUAAAUGAUUCCCUUCCUGGGGGUGAGUGUUAUCCUGCAGAUUAGUUCAUUAAAACUCAGAAUGGUCAUGGCCGCAUGAGCCACUGUUGGGAAGCAUGUCUGUUAGUUAAAACCUAUUUUUUGCCUCUGUAAUGUUUCUGAUUUACAGGACUAGUAAAGCUUUGUAUUUGGGGUGCUUUUAGGAGUUUUUGAGCCAGCUUUUACCACCUUAAAAAUAUGUUAAGUCAUGAUGCAUUUGGACAACCUAACAGAGAGUUUUGCUCAUAUUUUUAAACUGAGAAGCCUGAACCAAAAAUGAAAAAUAAAACCAAAGAGAAAAAAGCUUCAUCUGCAUUUCCCCAAAGUCUUGUCUGGUCUUGGAAAGCUUUUAAUCUAAAGCAGCAGUCGUGUUUACACUAGUUUAGGCUCACAGACAGGGCACAGAAAAUGUCGCUUUCAUGAAAUCUAAUGCAAAAGCUUUCAUAAUGUGAUUAGGUCAUAUUGACUCACAUUUUGGGUAUGAGUUGGCAACAGGGAGCGGUAUUAAAUCUAAUCUCGUACUUUCAUCACUUUGCCUGAAGUUUCUAUCUUUCCCAGUAAAGUCACUGUUGAUCUCAUCAGCGGUGGCCAAAGGGACACCUGACCCCGCUGACUUGAAGAGCUCAGUCAGCACUUCUGCAUGGAUAACAUGGCUGCAAGUGACCUGGAAAUGGAUUCAGUCCCCCUAAAUGGCUUUAGACUCGCUGGUGGAUUUACAAUCUCCUGCCUUGCUUUUAAAUCUUUACCAUUUUUGACAUUGCUCGCUUUUACUCUGCCUGUCUUCUAUCUUCUUUUUAUUCCAAGUGACACACAAACCCCUAUCAUUUUCCUCUCAUGCAGCAUUACUUCCCCCUAUCUUGUCAGUCUCAAAGGUUUUGUCUAAAUGAGAAGCUCUGGCGUGGAGAUCAGCAUCUCUGUGUCUCGGUUAGAUUCAAUUUCAAACUUAUCUUUGUCAGUCAAGAACACAGAGAAGACAAAAAUUGGACUGAGUUCAAGUUGGUACUUUUCGGUAGAAGAAAAACCACUUAUGGUGGGGGAUGGGGUGGUUCAAGGAUGUGACUGUUUGGGCAAGAGCAUGAAGCUUGGGAGGAGUGAAGGAUGAUUAAAGUUAGCAAAAGCUGCAUUUCCACCGAAUGUAAGCAGAAUAUUAAGUCCCAGAACUGUUCUUCAAAGGAUUAAAGACUUCCCUCAGCCAUUUUAGUUUUACCAAUCUUUGUGGAUCGAUGAAUAUCAGGUAGAUGAGUCUAAUUCAAGUAUUUAGCUGAUUUUCAAAGCCCUUGUACUUUAAGGUAGUACGUAAACCUCCAUGCAGGAACCAUUUGUUUGGAAUUAAAGUGUUUGCAGUCUAUACAGUGGAAAACCCGAGAAGUGCCUCCUAAGGUCCUGAGCAUAGACUGUAUAUACUAUGGAUAACUUGGUUCCACCUUCCGCCUGUAUACAGAUUUGGAGCUAAAAAGCUCUCGGUAAUUCCACUUUUUCUCCAUUUCCUAAAACCAACAUUGCGCAGUAGCAUUGUGCGCAUUCAGCGGGAGAGUCGCUGAGAGUCGUUGUGAUGACGUUUGGCUCAAACAGCGUAUCCCCGGGUGAGCUACGCGAUCUUCGUAUGUCCAUAGGCUGUAUCAAGUGUCAAUCAAAGAAAACAUGUACCAUCUAAUAACUUUUAAAAAUGGAGCUGUACAGAAAAAAUGAAUGAAUGGUGUAGGAGGAGCACAUUUUAGAAAUGAUGGCUGUGGCGGGGCGCCACUAACGCCGUCCUCAUCGCGGCUGGCCGCUCUCUCCCUCGCGGCUGGCCGCUCUCUCUCUCGCGGCUGGACGCACGCUCUCUCUCGCGGCUGGACGCCUUCUCUCCCUCUCGCUCUCCCUCGUCGCUCGGCGCCGACGUGGGGGAAUAGCGUGGUCACUCGCGGCUGGAGUGACAGACGGACGGGAGUCAAAAUGAACAUUUAAAGACAAUAAUUGGACUCUUGCGUCCCCGUGGUUGGUGUUAGAGGGUGCACACUCAAACACCUACACGGGUCUCGCUUACACAUACACGCACACACAUACACACUCACCUUCUGUCUCCGCUUCAUGGACUGAACAGAGGCAGUUCCGGGUCACCUGUUAAGUAGCACUAGAUGACGUGCCUCCGCGGGUCAGGUGACCCAGGGAGAAACCAAAGUCCGGGAACAAAUUGAUUUAUAGGAAAAAUAUUGUGUUUGGGUUUAAUAUUGGCUCAGCCAUGUGGAGGGUGUGAGCAACAGUAAUUGCUUUGUAUUAUUUUGUGUAUGUAGAAAUAUUAGUUAUGAUAUAAUAGCUGAUAUCUUGAAAAACCCCUUGAUUGUUUUGAUUGGUUUGUCCGGAGGAGGGGCCAAGGGGUAUUUAAAGGAGCUCAGCUCACUUGUUGGGGUGCCUCCUGGUUGAGCAGACGUAUGUUGGUCCUGGUAUUUGAAUUGCGGUUUGUAAAUAGUUUUUCCUCUGUCUUUUUUGUAAAUAAUUUUUGUAAAUAUUUUUUGUACAUAAGAGUUUUCACCUGUGGGUAUUUUUUUGGAGAUGGUGUAAAUAAAAGGAAAUCACCGUACUCGGUUCUCGACUGUGCCAUCAUCUUUCCCUCCACAACCGAAAAAGAACUUAAAGAAACUGAACCCGCGACAUUUGGUGUCAGAAGUGGGAUGGCCAGUCGAAGGGGACGCAUCCGGUUCACAGGAAGACGGACCGGACUGCGGUCACAAAAAGUGGAAGAAGCUGUGGAGGAAGCAGCCUGGGCCA
rnacentral:lncRNA from 1 species